rnacentral:rRNA from 1 species
UGAGGAAUAUUGGUCAAUGGACGAGAGUCUGAACCAGCCAAGUAGCGUGCAGGAUGACGGCCCUAUGGGUUGUAAACUGCUUUUGUAUGGGGAUAAAGUCAAUCACGUGUGAUUGUUUGCAGGUACCAUACGAAUAAGGACCGGCUAAUUCCGUGCCAGCAGCCGCGGUAAUACGGAAGGUCCGGGCGUUAUCCGGAUUUAUUGGGUUUAAAGGGAGCGUAGGCUGGAGAUUAAGUGUGUUGUGAAAUGUAGACGCUCAACGUCUGAAUUGCAGCGCAUACUGGUUUCCUUGAGUACGCACAACGUUGGCGGAAUUCGUCGUGUAGCGGUGAAAUGCUUAGAUAUGACGAAGAACUCCGAUUGCGAAGGCAGCUGACGGGAGCGCAAUUGACGCUUAAGCUCGAAGGUGCGGGUAUCGAACAGGAUUAGAUACCCUGGUAGUCCGCACAGUAAACGAUGGAUGCCCGCUGUUGGUACCUGGUAUCAGCGGCUAAGCGAAAGCAUUAAGCAUCCCACCUGGGGAGUACGCCGGCAACGGUG